rnacentral:rRNA from 1 species
GUCAGCAGCCGCGGUAACACCGGCAGCUCUAGUGGUAGCAACUUUUAUUGGGCCUAAAGCGUCCGUAGCCGGUUUAAUAAGUCUCUGGUGAAAUCCUGUAGCUUAACUGUGGGAAUUGCUGGAGAUACUAUUAGACUUGAGACCGGGAGAGGUUGGAGGUACUCCCAGGGUAGAGGUGAAAUUCUGUAAUCCUGGGAGGACCGCCUGUUGCGAAGGCGUCUAACUGGAACGGUUCUGACGGUGAGGGACGAAAGUUAGGGGCGCGAACCGGAUUAGAUACCCGGGUAGUCCUAACUGUAAACGAUGCGGACUUGGUGUUGGGGUGGCUUUGAGCUGUCCCAGUGCCGAAGGGAAGCUGUUAAGUCCGCCGCCUGGGAAGUACGGUCGCAAGACUGAAACUUAAAGGAAUUGGCGGGGGAACACCACAACGCGUGGAGCCUGCCGGUUUAAUUGGAUUCAACGCCGGACAUCUCACCAGAGGCGACAGCUGUAUGAUAGCCAGGUUGAUGACUUUGCUUGACUAGCUGAGAAGUGGUGCAUGG